UUUUCCCAGACCAUAUAUAGGGAGGCAGCAUAGCAGAUGGCAAAGGUGCCUCACGGUGCCUUACCAUGGUAGCCCAGUACGAGUGCACAACACAUGGCAAUGCCUAACAAGUCCACCCGGUAAGGCUAUGCGACAUGAACUCGUGAAAUUUUAUCGGGAGGGUAAUGUCGGCUAUGUCAUGCGUUGUGCACCGUCGGGCAACGGGGUCGGGGUCGGUGACGGCAAACUUUGUGUGUAUACUUCGUGCCAAGCGGUGCAUGAUUGGGCUUGCUUGUUGGACACCUCUUUUGGGCUGACGUGGUGCGACUUGCUUGCUCAAACAUGUGUACUCCAGGUGCGUGGGUAGUGGUCGGCUUGUACCGGUUGGUUGGAUCCCUGCUUGGGCAGCGACAUCCCCCCGUGCAAGCCUCUUCAAAUUUCGGCCCAAGGGCAACUUAGCCUUGGCCGUGUGUCGGUUUCCUGUGUUGCGUACCUACUAAAACGGAAUUCGAAMGUGAGACAUUUUGCUAUUCGCCCUGUGCUGUCCCAUCGGGUUGUCCCUUUGGGGUCCGGUGUCGGGUGAACCUCGAAGUGAUCUUCAUGUUCUUCGUCACCGACGAAAUGUGUUGUUGGCGCGGCCCAUGAAGAUUGCUUGAGCUCUCGGAUGCGGAAUAUGCGGAGGGUAGUAGGCCUACGGCCUCACUUUGCCCGAAUUAAGCGUUUAUUCGCUCAUUACCGAACGACGGCCGGCGGUGCGUUGAUGUGCCCGGGCCCUUGGGUUUUGGCAUCGUCAUGCUUUACCGGCGUCGGUAA
rnacentral:misc_RNA from 1 species